rnacentral:lncRNA from 1 species
UAUGAAACAUUGAAACUCUAGCCCUCCAUAAUUAGAUCAUACAGAAUUUAGACUCAUCAGUAAAACUGAGAAAGAAAUCCUCUUUCGCAAAUUGGAAAAAUCAGGAUUAAUUGACCCCAGAUCAACUAUGGACAUGAUGUCUGUUAGAAAAAGGACAUUGAUAAGAUUCAUAUAUAUAAAUAAAAAAGUCCAUGGAAAAUCAAAGAUUUCACUGAUGUUGAUUGUCCUAGUUCAACUUCGGGUAUAUAUGAUACUAAAAUCCAGCA